rnacentral:rRNA from 1 species
GAAUUUUGGACAAUGGGCGCAAGCCUGAUCCAGCCAUGCCGCGUGCGGGAAGAAGGCCUUCGGGUUGUAAACCGCUUUUAGCCGGAAAGAAAAGGGCAGGGUGAAUACCCCUGUCUCUUGACGGUACCGGCGGAAUAAGCACCGGCUAACUACGUGCCAGCAGCCGCGGUAAUACGUAGGGUGCGAGCGUUAAUCGGAAUUACUGGGCGUAAAGCGUGCGCAGGCGGUCCGUUGUGUCUCGUGUGAAAGCCCCGGGCUCAACCUGGGAAUGGCAUGGGAAACUGGCGGGCUGGAGUGUGGCAGAGGGGGGUGGAAUUCCGCGUGUAGCAGUGAAAUGCGUAGAGAUGCGGAGGAACACCGAUGGCGAAGGCAGCCCCCUGGGCCAACACUGACGCUCAGGCACGAAAGCGUGGGGAGCAAACAGG